CCUACGGGGGGCAGCAGUGGGGAAUAUUGGACAAUGGGGGCAACCCUGAUCCAGCCAUGCCGCGUGUGUGAAGAAGGCCCUCGGGUUGUAAAGCACUUUCAGUGAGGAAGAACGCCUGGUGGUUAAUACCCAUCAGGAAAGACAUCACUCACAGAAGAAGCACCGGCUAACUCCGUGCCAGCAGCCGCGGUAAUACGGAGGGUGCGAGCGUUAAUCGGAAUUACUGGGCAUAAAGCGCGCGUAGGUGGCUUGAUAAGCCGGUUGUGAAAGCCCCGGGCUCAACCUGGGAACGGCAUCCGGAACUGUCAAGCUAGAGUGCAGGAGAGGAAGGUAGAAUUCCCGGUGUAGCGGUGAAAUGCGUAGAGAUCGGGAGGAAUACCAGUGGCGAAGGCGGCCUUCUGGACUGACACUGACACUGAGGUGCGAAAGCGUGGGUAGCAAACAGGAUUAGAUACCCUUGUAGUC
rnacentral:rRNA from 1 species